UGGGGAAUAUUGGACAAUGGGCGCAAGCCUGAUCCAGCCAUGCCGCGUGAGUGAUGAAGGCCUUAGGGUUGUAAAGCUCUUUCGCCGACGAAGAUAAUGACGGUAGUCGGAGAAGAAGCCCCGGCUAACUUCGUGCCAGCAGCCGCGGUAAUACGAAGGGGGCUAGCGUUGUUCGGAAUCACUGGGCGUAAAGCGCACGUAGGCGGAUUGUUAAGUCAGGGGUGAAAGCCUGGAGCUCAACUCCAGAACUGCCCUUGAUACUGGCAAUCUCGAGUCCGGAAGAGGUAAGUGGAACUGCGAGUGUAGAGGUGAAAUUCGUAGAUAUUCGCAAGAACACCAGUGGCGAAGGCGGCUUACUGGUCCGGUACUGACGCUGAGGUGCGAAAGCGUGGGGAGCAAAACAGGAUUAGAUACCCUGGUAGUCCACGCCGUAAAACGAUGGAGGCUAGCCGUUGGCGAGCAUGCUCGUCAGUGGCGCAGCUAACGCAUUAAGCCUCCCGCCUGGGGAGUACGGUCGCAAGAUUAAAAACUCAAAGGAAUUGACGGGGUCAUAGCUGUUUCCU
rnacentral:rRNA from 1 species